rnacentral:misc_RNA from 1 species
AACGCACGAGACCUGCGGACCUGCGGAAGGAUCAUUACCGAGUGCGGGCCCGCUCUGGGCCCAACCUCCCACCCGUGUCUCUUGCGUACUUUGUUGCUUUGGCGGGCCCACUGGGUCACUCCGGUCGCCGGGGAGCGCUAUGCUCCCGGGCCCGUGCCCGCCAGAGCACCCCUGUGAACCCUGAUGAAGAGAGGCUGUCUGAGUCCCACGAUAAUCGUUAAAACUUUUAACAACGGAUCU